GAGUAACUAUUGGAAACGAUAGCUAAUACCGCAUAACAAUGGAUGACACAUGUCAUUUAUUUGAAAAGGGGCAAUUGCUCCACUACAAGAUGGACCUGCGUUGUAUUAGCUAGUAGGUGAGGUAACGGCUCACCUAGGCGACGAUACAUAGCCGACCUGAGAGGGUGAUCGGCCACACUGGGACUGAGACACGGCCCAGACUCCUACGGGAGGCAGCAUG
rnacentral:rRNA from 1 species